rnacentral:rRNA from 1 species
AUGGCGCCACCGACCCGCGCGUCCGCGAAGCAGCCGAAGCCGGGGAGGGCCCUGGGGCGGAGGGGCAUGUCGCGGGCCGAGGCGGCGGCGGCGGCGGACGCGGCGGCGAGGCGCUCGGCGGCGGCGCGGGAGUGGCGCGUGUGGGGCGAGUGGGCGAUGGGCGCGGCCAAGGUGGCGGCGCACUACGGCUUCAUCCCCCUCGUCAUAGCCGUCGGCGUGAUCAAGUCCGACCCCAAGCCCUCCCUGUUCCAGCUCCUCGCCCCGUUCUGA